CCUCAGCUGUAGUCAGACUCUACACAGCCAGAUCAGACCAAGGAGAGCGAACCCAGGAUUGUAGACCCAGGACUAACCCAGGACAGCAGUUUCCUCUAGUAUCUGACCCAUAAGACACCUCGCCUCUCUGCAAUAUGAAGUACCUGGUUCUGGGACUCUGCACACUGGCCCUGCUGGCUUCCACCAUGGCACAGAAUUCUGCAACAACACCAACAACUGACCAACAUAAUUCUACAAUAGGAUCAACAAAUGACCAAAAUAAUUCUACAAUACGACCAACAACUGAUCAAAACAAUUCUACAUUACGACCAACAACUGACCAACAUAAUUCUACAAUAGGACAAACAACUGACCUAAAGAAUUCUACAAUACGACCAACAACUGCCGAAACAAAAGCCACAUGGCCAACCACUCUCACCACACCAGCAGGGGGCAGCCAUGUCUUCAGUUACUCCCUGACUCUACUGUUUGGAUCGACAGCCACCCAGAUCCUGCGUUCACUAUGGCAAUGAUCGCCACCUAGACGACAAGAGUCACAUUGACCGCACCAUCCUGAGAGCGUGUUGGAACCUGAAUGAAGAGCACCCGAGAAUGAUCUGUACAGCUUUCUCUUUUCUCUGACAAUGUGUUCUUACAAUGACCUUGAGGUUUGUGUGUCCUCUGUGUAUUUCAAGAUGCAUAAUUAACAUACUCUGAUUGACAGGGUAUAUUGCAAUGCCUAAAAUAUAUGAAUGUUUUGUAAUCACUCAAGCUGUGAGUUCCUUUGAACAAAAUAGCUAACUAUACAAAUUGUGAAUGAUUUAUUUUCUCAUAGUACAAAUGUUGAUCAAUACCCAAAUAAUGUUUUUUUUUCUUUUUUCGUAUUGCUAUGUGACCCAGUUAAAUAUUUAUAUAUUAAUGUAUCAUGUAUUUUAGUAAAAGUAUGAUAUUUUAUCACAGUAAAUAGGUUUAUCUGAUUUGCUGUUGCUAUUAAUCUUAAUAUCAGUUCCAUUGUUUAGCUUUUUUGGGCACUUUAUGGUCAAUGUCUAAAAAAUGUCCACUCCGAAAGUUCCUUCAAAGGAAAAAUAAAUAUAUUCUAAUCUAAUUUAAGAUAAAGUUCUGAAUUAACAAUGUAAGUGUUAUCAAAAUCUAUCACAUACAGUGUGACUACACUUAUCAAUCCAGGUACAGAAAGAAGCUAACCUAACUAUAAAAAGGUGUAUAAUCUUUAACUAUGAUAAGGUUUAUCAUCUUAUCAGGCUUAUACCCCAGUGUAGAAACAUUAGGAACACCUGCUCUUUCCAUGAUAUACACUACCGGUCAAAAGUUUUAGAACACCUACUCAUUCAAGGGUUUUUCGUCAUUUUUACAAUUUUCUACAUGGUAGAAUAAUAGUGAAGACAUCAAAAUUGUGAUUUACACAUAUGGACUCAUGUAGUAACCCAAAAAGUGAUCAAAAUAUAUUUUAUAUUUGAGAAUCUUCAAUGUAGUCACCCUUUCCUGGAUGACAUCCAUCCAACUUGACACAACUGUGGGCCAGCAUUCCUGUGGAAAGCUUAGGGCACCUUGUCUAUGCCCCGACGAACUGAGUCUGUCCUGAAGGCAAAAGCGGAUGCAACUCAAUUUUGUACACUCAGUGUAUUUGUUAGUCUAUUUCUGCAUGGUAUAAUAAAGAAAUAAGGAAAUCG